rnacentral:tRNA from 1 species
CUUAUAGCUUACAAUAAAGCGUAGCACUGAAGAUGCUAAAACGGCCCCUAAUUACGUGCCUGAGAACA